AUUGAACGCUGGCGGCAGGCUUAACACAUGCAAGUCGAGCGAGCGGCGGACGGGUGAGUAGUGUCGGGGAAACCGCCUGAGGGAGGGGGAUAACUACUGGAAACGGUCGCUAAUACCGCAUACCAUCAGAUGUGCCCAGAUGGGAUUAGCUAGUAGGGGGGGUAAUGGCUCACCUAGGCGACGAUCCCUAGCUGGUCUGAGAGGAUGACCUGCCACACUGGAACUGAGACACGGUCCAGACUCCUACGGGAGGCAGCAGUGGGGAAUAUUGCACAAUGGGCGCAAGCCUGAUGCAGCCAUGCCGCGUGUGUGAAGAAGGCCUUCGGGUUGUAAAGCACUUUCAGCGGGGAGGCGUUACUCGCAGAAGAAGCACCGGCUAACUCCGUGCCAGCAGCCGCGGUAAUUC
rnacentral:rRNA from 1 species